UUUUUUUUUAAGUAAAUGGCAGUUUCUAGGGAAUGAUGAUGGCAAGUUCCAGAGAGGCAGCGUGAAAGGAUGAGGCUACUGGGAAGAAGAAAGAGGAAAAGUGCAAGAUGAAUAGCCAGUGCAAUAUAUAUACAUGUAUACUUAACAGAUAUGGAAUGGUUGGCGAAGUAAAUUUUUGGCGACGCGGUAUGCGGAGUUGUAAGAUGUACUACGAUCGUAUAGUGUACUGCGGCAAAAUGUUAGUGCAGGAAAGCGGGAAGGAAAAAGAAGCAACUAAACGAGGGUGUAGAAAAAGACGAAGAGGAAAGGAUUAACCGUAGAAGAGAGGGAAAUGGAG
rnacentral:lncRNA from 1 species